GAUGAACGCUGGCGGCGUGCCUAAUACAUGCAAGUCGAGCGAACAGAUAAGGAGCUUGCUCCUUUGACGUUAGCGGCGGACGGGUGAGUAACACGUGGAUAACCUACCUAUAAGACUGGGAUAACUUCGGGAAACCGGAGCUAAUACCGGAUAACAUAUUGAACCGCAUGGUUCAAUAGUGAAAGGCAGCUUUGCUGUCACUUAUAGAUGGAUCCGCGCCGUAUUAGCUAGUUGGUAAGGUAACGGCUUACCAAGGCAACGAUACGUAGCCGACCUGAGAGGGUGAUCGGCCACACUGGAACGGAGACACGGUCCAGACUCCUACGGGAGGCAGCAGUAGGGAAUCUUCCGGAAUGGGCGAAAGCCUGACGGAGCAACGCCGCGUGAGUUAUGAAGGUCUUCGGAUCGUAAAACUCUGUUAUCAGGGAAGAACAAAUGUGUAAGUAACUGUGCACAUCUUGACGGUACCUGAUCAGAAAGCCACGGCUAACUACGUG
rnacentral:rRNA from 1 species